UAGGGAAUCUUCCGCAAUGGGCGAAAGCCUGACGGAGCAACGCCGCGGGAGUGAUGAAGGUCUUCGGAUCGUAAAACUCUGUUAUUAGGGAAGAACAAAUGUGUAAGUAACUAUGCACGUCUUGACGGUACCUAAUCAGAAAGCCACGGCUAACUACGUGCCAGCAGCCGCGGUAAUACGUAGGUGGCAAGCGUUAUCCGGAAUUAUUGGGCGUAAAGCGCGCGUAGGCGGUUUUUUAAGUCUGAUGUGAAAGCCCACGGCUCAACCGUGGAGGGUCAUUGGAAACUGGAAAACUUGAGUGCAGAAGAGGAAAGUGGAAUUCCAUGUGUAGCGGUGAAAUGCGCAGAGAUAUGGAGGAACACCAGUGGCGAAGGCGACUUUCUGGUCUGUAACUGACGCUGAUGUGCGAAAGCGUGGAGAUCAAACAGG
rnacentral:rRNA from 1 species